UACGUAGGGUGCAAGCGUUACUCGGAAUUACUGGGCGUAAAGCGUGCGCAGGCGGCUAUGCAAGACAGAUGUGAAAUCCCCGGGCUCAACCUGGGAACUGCAUUUGUGACUGCAUGGCUAGAGUACGGUAGAGGGGGAUGGAAUUCCGCGUGUAGCAGUGAAAUGCGUAGAUAUGCGGAGGAACACCGAUGGCGAAGGCAGCCUCCUGGGCCAGCACUGACGCUCAUGCACGAAAGCGUGGGGAGCAAACAGG
rnacentral:rRNA from 1 species